rnacentral:rRNA from 1 species
UACGGAGGAUGCGAGCGUUAUCCGGAUUUAUUGGGUUUAAAGGGUGCGUAGGCGGAUUGAUAAGUUAGAGGUGAAAUGUCCGAGCUUAACUCGGGGAACUGCCUCUAAUACUGUUGAUCUAGAGAGUAGAUGCGGUAGGCGGAAUGUAUGGUGUAGCGGUGAAAUGCUUAGAGAUCAUACAGAACACCGAUUGCGAAGGCAGCUUACCAAUCUAUAUCUGACGUUGAGGCACGAAAGCGUGGGGAGCAAACAGG